AUGAGAUCCACUUUUCAAAUCAACCUUUUUAACUCCCACAUAUGAGUGAGAACAUGUGGUAUUUGUUUUGCUGUGUCUGGCUUAUUACAUUUAAGAUAAGGACCUUUCGUUCUAUCCAGGUCACUGCAAAUAACA